AUUGAACGCUGGCGGCAGGCCUAACACAUGCAAGUCGAGCGGAUGAAGGGAGCUUGCUCCUGGAUUCAGCGGCGGACGGGUGAGUAAUGCCUAGGAAUCUGCCUGGUAGUGGGGGAUAACGUCCGGAAACGGGCGCUAAUACCGCAUACGUCCUGAGGGAGAAAGUGGGGGAUCUUCGGACCUCACGCUAUCAGAUGAGCCUAGGUCGGAUUAGCUAGUUGGUGGGGUAAAGGCCUACCAAGGCGACGAUCCGUAACUGGUCUGAGAGGAUGAUCAGCCACACUGGAACUGAGACAGGGUCCAGAGUCCUACGGGAGGCAGCAGUGGGGAAUAGUGGACAAUGGGCGAAAGCCUGAUCCAGCCAUGCCGCGUGUGUGAAGAAGGUCUUCGGAUUGUAAAGCACUUUAAGGUGGGAGGAAGGGCAGUAAGUUAAGACCUUGCUGUUUUGACGUUACCAACAGAAUAAGCACCGGCUAACUUCGUG
rnacentral:rRNA from 1 species